rnacentral:rRNA from 1 species
CAGCCGCCGCGGGAAUACGAAGGGGGCUAGCGUUGCUCGGAAUCACUGGGCGUAAAGGGUGCGUAGGCGGGUCUUUAAGUCAGGGGUGAAAUCCUGGAGCUCAACUCCAGAACUGCCUUUGAUACUGAAGAUCUUGAGUUCGGGAGAGGUGAGUGGAACUGCGAGUGUAGAGGUGAAGUUCGUAGAUAUUCGCAAGAACACCAGUGGCGAAGGCGGCUCACUGGCCCGAUACUGACGCUGAGGCACGAAAGCGUGGGGAGCAAACAGGAUUAGAUACCCGAGUAGUCCCUGUCUCUUAUAC